CCUCACCCGGUCACAUUAUACUGACAACGGGCGAACCAGUCGUCAACCAUAUUUUGCUAUAUACAUAUCCAUUAUAUUCCAGGAAGUGGACAUUUUCUAUGUUGCUUGUACAAUUAUAAUACGGUAGAAUUUCUAUUUAUUUUAUUGUGUAACUUAUAUUUAGUUUUGGUAAUUAUUUGUUAUUUGCUAUAAAUACGGAUUCUCCGGACCCGGGUUCAUAGCGAGUAAAUUAGUGUGAGAGAGAUAUUCGCACGGGUAAACGGGCGAACCGGUUGUGUGACCUUGGAAGGUAUACAUGGGUUAAACAAGCGCAAAAUACAGUUUGCGUUUUAACCUAUGAUGGUGUGAGGGCAGAUGUCAUUUGAGACUGACAUGGUAUCCAGUAACCAUAGUUUCCAGUCCUAUGUGGGCAACACAAACACCAUUAUCACUAACUGAUUGCAGUCCUGUGUGGGUAGCUGUUGGUGAGAUGUGAAGUGUGACAACUAUUGGUGAGCUAUCCUGUGUGGGCAGCUAUAUGCAUCGUAAGAAGUCCUGUGUGGGCAGAUUUUAAUGUUAUGUCCUUUGUGGGCAACCAUAUCUCCAUAUUUCCAUAUGUCCUGUGUGGGCGGAAGUAACUUUAUACAGACCUUUGUGGUCAACCAUAUUUCCAUAUGUCCUGUGUGGGCGGAUAUAACUGUAUACAGACCUUUGUGGUCAACCAUAUUUCCAUAUGUCCUGUGUGGACGGAUAUAACUGUAUACAGACCUUUGUGGACAACUCUAUUCCCAUAUGUCCUGUGUGGGCGGAUAUAACUGUAUACAGACCUUUGUGGACAACUCUAUUCCCAUAUGUCCUGUGUGGGCAUAUUAUAUCUACAUUUAUGUGGCAACGUUGAGCAGUCCUUUGUGGACAGAUACAUAAACUUGUCUUGACAAUCUUUGUCUGGAGUGUAACAACUUUCUAUGUGGACACUGUACGUCAGACACUAUACGUCAGCCGUCAUUGGAAGUAUUUGUGGAUUGCAGACCACCUGAUUCAGUGUAUGUAUGUGUAUGUUAGUUGUGAGAAAGUUGUAUAUAUUGCUAUUAUUGCAUAUGUGACUGUUAAAUAUGUACAUUAUUGUAAUAAACUCAUGUAUAUAGUGUA